rnacentral:lncRNA from 1 species
AGCCAUCAGUAGAAGGUCAUCCAGGUUCUACCAUUCCUUUUUCACCUUUUAUCAAAAUGUUGGGGCCAAUGUUCAGCUUAAGUAUGGGAGAGGAACCUUAUUUGUUUUAUCUAGAUUUUCCGUUUUAAUAUGAUUACUUAAGAUUUCAUUCACUAUUUUAGUUUAUCAUAGUGUCAUUGCAUGUGUUGUCCAGUGUUCAUAUGUGGUUUUCUGCUGUUUAUUAACUCUUCCAUUUCUUGAGUCAUACUAACAAAAAAUUGAAAAAGAAAACAAGUGUUUAUUUUUCAGUUUUAGGUUAUUCGACAAGUUAAGGAUAGGUUGUAGAGACUUGGGAAAACCCCCAAAAGAUCAGUAUCAUCUUAACACCAUAAAUCUCCUAAUUAUAGAGAUUGAUCUGGAUACUUGUUAUGCCAUGGCCUUGAAAUCUCACCCCUAAAUGAGUCUUUAAGUAGUUUAUCUUAGUAGUCAGCACCAUCUGAAUUACCACUGAGUAAGCGGAUCGAUGCAAAUAGGUGAAUGAUCUCG